UACGAAGGGGGCAAGCGUUGUUCGGAAUUACUGGGCGUAAAGGGCGCGUAGGCGGCUUAUCAAGUCAGGCGUGAAAUUCCCGGGCUCAACCUGGGGGCUGCGCUUGAUACUGAUGAGCUUGAAUGCGGGAGAGGAUAGUGGAAUUCCCAGUGUAGAGGUGAAAUUCGUAGAUAUUGGGAAGAACACCGAUGGCGAAGGCAGCCUCCUGGGCCAGCACUGACGCUCAUGCACGAAAGCGUGGGGAGCAAACAGG
rnacentral:rRNA from 1 species